rnacentral:rRNA from 1 species
CCUACGGGGGGCUGCAGUGGGGAAUAUUGGACAAUGGGGGCAACCCUGAUCCAGCCAUGCCGCGUGUGUGAAGAAGGCCCUCGGGUUGUAAAGCACUUUCAGUGAGGAAGAACGCCUGGUGGUUAAUACCCAUCAGGAAAGACAUCACUCACAGAAGAAGCACCGGCUAACUCCGUGCCAGCAGCCGCGGUAAUACGGAGGGUGCGAGCGUUAAUCGGAAUUACUGGGCGUAAAGCGCGCGUAGGUGGCUUGAUAAGCCGGUUGUGAAAGCCCCGGGCUCAACCUGGGAACGGCAUCCGGAACUGUCAAGCUAGAGUGCAGGAGAGGAAGGUAGAAUUCGCGGUGUAGCGGUGAAAUGCGUAGAGAUCGGGCGGAAUACCAGUGGCGAAGGCGGCCUUCUGGACUGACACUGACACUGAGGUGCGAAAGCGUGGGUAGCAAACAGGAUUAGAUACCCGAGUAGUC